GGGACUUUCAGAAGAAGUCGUGACAAAAAAAACCCAUACAUUUCUCCACAUUUUUUGUGACACUUUUAUUCAUACUCUGCUUUUCUACUUUUUAUCAUGCCAAAAGUAACUUGUACCUGAGUGGUGGACAUGGUGAAGGCCGCAUUAUAACAUGGGCAUGCAUGGCUGCCAGUGGAACCAGGCCACUAGUGUUUAUUGAUGAUGUGACUGCAAAAGUAACCACACCUGACUUUCUAAAGAAAUUGUACAUUCUUCAAUGGCCAAGUCAGUCACCUGAUCUCAAGUCCACCCAAUGUUAAAUACAAACCAUAAUGCAGAGAGACCCACAAACAAGCAGCAACUGUAGGUGGCAACAGUAAAGGCCUAGCAGAGCAUCUUAAGGGAGGAAGCACAACAUUUAGUGAUGUCCAUGGUUUAAUCAAAUAUUACAUUUUUUUACAUUCACAUUUAAAUUGAUGUAAACGUUUUUUCAUUAAUUUUGAUCUUCUCAGACUUGGGGACUAUGUAUAAAAACUAGAUGUAAUCCUUAAACAGUGUACUUAGGCAAAAUUGCAAAAAAUGUUUCUUUGUUCCAAACAUCGUGGAGGGCAGUGUGUGUGAACAAACAUCCUUAAAUAAAAAAUCAAAUCCAGGCACACAUCUUCUCUCACUGACUCUCGCCUGACUGUAAUGCGCUUCUUCAAGCCCAAAACACACUAGAUUUUUAAAUAUAUGUUUUUAAAAUUUUCUUCAGCAUCGUUUUGAGAAAUAUGGAUUAGAUAGAAACAAAAUGUUGGCAUGUUUACGAUGCCUGUUUCACAUUUUCAUUGCCCACUUAUAACACCCACUUUUACCAGUAGCUGAGAUUACAGUUAUAAAGAGAACUGCGGCCCUCAACAGCAGUCCCAGUUUCUCAUGUACCCCGUUGGGAAAAUUAAUUGCCCAUCCCUGUUUUGAAAGUGAAACACGAACAGUGUUUGAAACCAUGAAAAAGGGACACAUAUUGGCCAAUCUUGAGCACAUCUUUAAUGACUGUUUUGCACAUAUUUUAAUGCAAGGAAACACUGAGACAGUCUCCAAGUACUUGACACUGUUAAGUUUAUUAUGUAUACAGCACUAUGAAUGAAAGCUGUCUUGUGUUGGUUGCUGGUUAUUGGUGCUGUAAGUGUCUGCGGAUUUGAAUAUUUAUUUAAACGAAUUGCAUUGUGAUGAUUUCAGCAGCUGGUGCGGCUGUGUGGCCUCUUCUUAAACAGAUUUAAAAAGGCCGGAAA